rnacentral:rRNA from 1 species
GACGAACGCUGGCGGCGUGCUUAACACAUGCAAGUCGAGCGGUAAGGCCCUUUCGGGGGUACGACGAGCGGCGAACGGGUGAGUAACACGUGGGUGACCUGCCCUCAGCUCUGGGAUAAGCCUGGGAAACCGGGUCUAAUACUGGAUAUGACUCCAUGACGCAUGUUGUGGGGUGGAAAGCCUUGUGCGGCUGAGGAUGGGCCCGCGGCCUAUCAGCUUGUUGGUGGGGGUGANGGCCUACCAAGGCGACGACGGGUAGCCGGCCUGAGAGGGCGACCGGCC